rnacentral:rRNA from 1 species
AUUGAACGCUGGCGGUAUGCUUAACACAUGCAAGUCGAACGGUAACAGGCCCUUCGGGUGCUGACGAGUGGCGGACGGGUGAGUAAUGUGUAAGAACUUGCCUUACGAUGGGGGAUAGCCUAGGGAAACUUAGGGUAAUACCGCGUGUGCCUACGGGUAAAAGCUGGGGUAACCUGGCGUCGUAAGAUAGGCUUACAUCAGAUUAGCUAGUUGGUGGGGUAAAGGCUCACCAAGGCGAAGAUCUGUAGCUGGUCUGAGAAGAUGAUCAGCCACACUGGGACUGAGACACGGCCCAGACUCCUACGGGAGGCAGCAGUGGGGAAUAUUGGACAAUGGGCGAAAGCCUGAUCCAGCAAUACCGCGUGUGUGAAGAAGGCCCGAGGGUUGUAAAGCACUUUCAGAGAGGAGAAAGUUACCUCGGUUAAGAGCUAAGGUAAUUGAUGUUACUCUCAGAAGAAGCACCGGCUAACUCUGUG